GUUGAAACACAGUUUCCCGUACGAUCACCGAAGUUAAGCAACAUCGAUGAACCUGGUCAGUACUUAGCGGGUGACCGCUUGGGAAUACCAAGUGAUGUAA